CCUACGGGUGGCAGCAGUGGGGAAUAUUGGGCAAUGGAGGCAACUCUUACCCAGCAAUGCCGCGUGAAUGAAGAAGGUCUUCGGAUUGUAAAGUUCUUUAAUUGGGGACGAAAAAAAUGACGGUACCCAAGGAAUAAGCCCCGGCUAACUACGUGCCAGCAGCCGCGGUAAUACGGAGGAUGCGAGCGUUAUCCGGAUUCAUUGGGUUUAAAGGGUGCGCAGGCGGGCCUUUAAGCCGGCGGUGAAAUCGCGGGGCUCAACCCCGCCGAGCCGUCGGAACUGGGGGCCUUGAGUGCGGCGGAGGCAUGCGGAAUGCGCGGUGUAGCGGUGAAAUGCAUAGAUAUCGCGCAGAACCCCGAUUGCGAAGGCAGCGUGCCGUGCCGCCACUGACGCUGAGGCACGAAAGCGCGGGGAUCGAACAGGAUUAGAUACCCCAGUAGUC
rnacentral:rRNA from 1 species